GAUCCUGGCUCAGAUUGAACGCUGGCGGCAUGCCUUACACAUGCAAGUCGAACGGUAACAGGGAGCUUGCUCCGCUGACGAGUGGCGAACGGGUGAGUAAUGUAUCGGAACGUACCAUUCAGUGGGGGAUAACGUAGCGAAAGUUACGCUAAUACCGCAUAUUCUGUGAGCAGGAAAGCAGGGGAUCGCAAGACCUUGCGCUGAUUGAGCGGCCGAUAUCAGAUUAGCUUGUUGGUGAGGUAAAAGCUCACCAAGGCGACGAUCUGUAGCGGGUCUGAGAGGAUGAUCCGCCACACUGGAACUGAGACACGGUCCAGACUCCUACGGGAGGCAGCAGUGGGGAAUUUUGGACAAUGGGGGCAACCCUGAUCCAGCCAUGCCGCGUGAGUGAAGAAGGCCUUCGGGUUGUAAAGCUCUUUCAGCCGGGAAGAAAACGCAUGGGUUAAUACCCUGUGUGGAUGACGGUACCGGAAUAAGAAGCACCGGCUAACUACGUGCCAGCAGCCGCGGUAAUACGUAGGGUGCGAGCGUUAAUCGGAAUUACUGGGCGUAAAGCGUGCGCAGGCGGUUUUGUAAGACAGGCGUGAAGUCCCCGGGCUUAACCUGGGAACUGCGUUUGUGACUGCAAAGCUAGAGUACGGCAGAGGGGGGUGGAAUUCCACGUGUAGCAGUGAAAUGCGUAGAGAUGUGGAGGAACACCAAUGGCGAAGGCAGCCCCCUGGGUCGAUACUGACGCUCAUGCACGAAAGCGUGGGUAGCAAACAGGAUUAGAUACCCUGGUAGUCCACGCCCUAAACGAUGUCAACUAGGUGUUGGGAGGGUAAAACCUUUUAGUACCGUAGCUAACGCGAGAAGUUGACCGCCUGGGGAGUACGGCCGCAAGGUUAAAACUCAAAGGAAUCGACGGGGACCCGCACAAGCGGUGGAUGAUGUGGAUUAAUUCGAUGCAACGCGAAAAACCUUACCUACCCUUGACAUGUCAGGAACUUGCCAGAGAUGGCUUGGUGCCCGAAAGGGAACCUGAACACAGGUGCUGCAUGGCUGUCGUCAGCUCGUGUCGUGAGAUGUUGGGUUAAGUCCCGCAACGAGCGCAACCCUUGUCGUUAAUUGCCAUCAUUUAGUUGGGCACUUUAACGAGACUGCCGGUGACAAACCGGAGGAAGGUGGGGAUGACGUCAAGUCCUCAUGGCCCUUAUGGGUAGGGCUUCACACGUCAUACAAUGGUCGGUACAAAGGGUCGCCAACCCGCGAGGGGGAGCCAAUCCCAGAAAGCCGAUCGUAGUCCGGAUUGCAGGCUGCGACUCGCCUGCAUGAAGUCGGAAUCGCUAGUAAUCGUGGAUCAGCAUGUCACGGUGAAUACGUUCCCGGGUCUUGUACACACCGCCCGUCACACCAUGGGAGCGGGUUCCGCCAGAAGUAGGUAGCCUAACCGCAAGGAGGGCGCUUACCACGGCGGGGUUCGUGACUGGGGUGAAGUCGUAACAAGGUA
rnacentral:rRNA from 1 species